rnacentral:lncRNA from 1 species
GUGUCACAUCAGAGAGGAAAGCCUGAGCUGCAGGAGAGCCUGCAGGCCUUGUGAGUAGAAUUGCACUUUCACAAUAAUGGGAAUGUGACCAGUGUUUCAGCCCGUUUUUAAUUAUCAUGGUGACAUGGAAAAAAAAUCGGAUGAAUUUCCAGCAUGAGUCCAGAUAGAGAUAUCUACAAAAGUUCUCACUGUGACAGCCUACCUCAUUCAGACACCAUGGGAUACUAAUAGGGCUUCUGAAACAGACACCCAAAGUAUUGGAGAGAAAAACAGAUCUCCAUCUGAGCAAGAUAAUUUUGAGAGAAAAAAGUUAAAAAGAUCUUGAGAAAAAAGAUCUUGAGAAAAAGCUCAGUUUAGAUAUAAGAUUGAUCAAGUCAGCCAGAAAAUAGUCCCCUAAAAGCAAUUUCUCUCUAACCACCCAAAGUGCACAAUUACUCUCAGCAUGAGAAACAUGAGCAUUAUGAAGAAAGGGGGCAGAAUUUCAGAAGAAUUUUAUAAAGCUUUUUUUCCCAUCUCUGCUGCUCUCUCAUCUCCUAGUCAUUGAAUGGGGGUUCUAUAUUGAAAUAUAUCUGACAACUUCCAACAACACUUUUUG